GCAGAGGGCGCACCAUAGGCAUUUCUGACCCAGGACACCUGAGAGCAGGAAGGGUCGCUGUUGCUCCCAGAGGACUCAGGGCCUCUGCCGCUGCCUCAGGACAGAGAGUAGAGCUGCGUUUCCAGCCCGUUCUGCCGCCCACCCCAGGGGAGACCUGGGGAGCUUUGCAGCAACUUGGCAUCUCCUGAGUCACCGGGGAGAAGCUGCCUUGUUGUGCUGAGUGCUGAGGAGGGGGCGCUGGGUGGCUUCCCUGGGCAAGCUGGUUGCUGGGCAGCACAGGCACUUUCAUUUUCUGGGCUGUCCCCGUGUUUCAUUCCUCCCCUUCCCAGACAGUAUUUGAAUAAGACAUAUUUUACUGAAGGACUCAUGGAUUGCGGGGUCCCACGACAUCACCUCAUCGAUGCAGUUGAUGGUUAGUUCCGGAUUCAGGCUUGUUUCCGGGAUGAAACCCUGACAGAAAUUCAGAGGAACGGGAGCUGCAUUCCGUUAGGACGUGAAUACACGAAAUGCUCCUCUCAAGACCUUCUAGAAGAAUGAGCUGGGACCCAGUUUCUGCGUCCUGCUGGAACCAGAGACUGAGGCAUUUUUCACCCAGCAUAACAUUCUGUCGCUCCUCCGCCUCGUGGCCAAUGACAAGAUUUCCUGUUUUUACGGCUCAAUAAUAUUACAUUCCAUAUACUACAUCUCAACUUAUUCAUCAGUUGAUGGAUGCUCAGGAAGUUUCCGUAAUUUGGCUGUUGUAGAAAAUGCUGCUGUAAACAUCAGGGUGCAUGUAUCCCUUUGAAGGAUUAUUUUGUAUUCUUUGUGGAAAUACCUCGUAGUGAAAUCGCUGGAUCGUAAGAUAUUGCCCAGGUGUCUGAAAGCCUGCAUUGAGCUGAGCCUUAAGAGAGAAGUUUGGAAUUCAGUUUUGAGAGUAGACAGCCAGUCCAAGAAAGCCUUGUAAUUGGCUCUUAGAUUUAAGUUGUGAGAGAUUGUGGAUGCCUCGCGAGUGCCUGGAUCUAGAUGUGGGCCUUGUUCUGAGAACAGGUGAGCUAAAUACCUAACCUGAGAUUGAGCAAACUGUACUUUUUCUUUGGAGAUUUUAUGGGCAUUUUAAAACCAGAAGUUUUCCCAAGGGGGUUCUGUCUUCGUGUGAAGAGGCACCAGCCGGGGAGCAGAGAAGCAAAUCAUCUACACAUUGUAACAAAGUCGAGCCUGAAGAACGCUUUCCAUCAUCCAAAUCAGCCUUUAAGGUUUGUGGGACACGUGAAGCACUCUGUGAAACCCAGGGAGGUUGCAGUCCAGAUGUAUUGUCAUUCGCUGCGUGUGACGGUCAAAAGAUACUGGCUAUCCUUAUCAACUAGAAUGCUAAAAACUGCAGCACAUGGGUC